AACGAACGCUGGCGGCAGGCCUAACACAUGCAAGUCGAACGCCCUAGCAAUAGGGAGUGGCAGACGGGUGAGUAACACGUGGGAACCUUCCCUGUAGUACGGAAUAGCCCAGGGAAACUUGGAGUAAUACCGUAUAAGCCCGAGAGGGGAAAGAUUUAUCGCUACAGGAUGGGCCCGCGUCGGAUUAGCUAGUUGGUGAGGUAAUGGCUCACCAAGGCGACGAUCCGUAGCUGGUUUGAGAGAACGACCAGCCACACUGGGACUGAGACACGGCCCAGACUCCUACGGGAGGCAGCAGUGGGGAAUAUUGGACAAUGGGCGCAAGCCUGAUCCAGCCAUGCCGCGUGAGUGAUGAAGGCCUUAGGGUUGUAAAGCUCUUUUGUCGGGGACGAUAAUGACGGUACCCGAAGAAUAAGCUCCGGCUAACUUCGUGCCAGCAGCCGCCGUAAUAC
rnacentral:rRNA from 1 species